UAAAGUCAGAACUAAAACAGGGCCUUUUAAAGGCUAAACACUCAUCAUACGAGGUGCAAUACUCAUGGACAUCAGCUCUUGAAAGAGGAGUUUACAAGCAUAUGGCAUUCGCACCAAGGAAAUCUGAAAAGGAGGUGGUGGAAAGGGAAGACUAGGAGUUGUGUGAAGAGGACACAAAAUUGCAGACAAAAGCCUUAUGUCAGUGCAACAGCAUGCUUUUCUGGAUUAUCUGGCGAUUUCCACAUUGCAUAAGCUCUGGUGGGAGCAAUUCUAUCCAUUCAUCCAGUAGUAAGGCAUAAAAAGACCUCUUGGCAAGAGAACGGGGGAAAAACUUGGACUUCAGCAGGUGCACAUUCUUCUUAUGGCCACUUCUUAUGCCCCAAGUAUCAGUUUCCUUACUCAGCUGUCCAGUGCACCACCAGAUAUAGAUGCACACUGAGCUGAUCUGGUAAUGGAGAUGGAUAGUAUAAAAAGGAGAAAACCUAAUUAUAGCUGCUUCAAGAGCUGUAUUUCAGAUCAUAAACUGUUCAAGUUUUCCCACUGUCAUUGUCGGUUUCAUGAAUGAGUUCUGACAGUUUCUAAUUCUGUUAAAUGUAGUAUGUUCAACAGUGGAAUUCAAGUCAUUCUUUUAAUAUACUUAUUGUUUGCGCUGGUUUACUAUAGCCUAACAUUAGCAACUUUAUUUAUAACUGAAAAGGCACUUCCAUUCCAAUCCCUAUUAUGGAUAGCUUACUUUUUUUCAGUAAGUUGCACCUUAUGAUGAAAUAUUUCAUACUUGGCUCAGAAGUUUUGCUUUAGUUUUAGUAUUUGUACUACCACAGCACCUAGGAACCCCAGUCAUGGUGCAGGACCCCAUUGUACUAGGCACUGUACAAACACAGAACUAAGAGAUGGUUACCCACCUCAACGGGCUUACAAUCUAACUAGAAAUCUAUUCAGUUAUUUUUCAGAAGUUGUUACUCUGUGUGAAGAUAAGUAUCUUUUGGUUACUAGAUCUUGUAUCAAGAUCUUCACUUCGCUCCAGACAGCUUUUCUUUAAACUUGAUAUGAACUGUGUCCAGAAGUGUAACAUUCACUUGGCCUAGAUUGAAAACAAUGUUU